AGCAGCCGCGGUAAUUCCAGCUCCAAUAGCGUAUAUUAAAGUUGUUGCAGUUAAAAAGCUCGUAGUUGAAUUUCGGGAUUGACACAUCGGUCGUGCCUUAAGGGGUAUGAACUGGUGUAGUCAGUUUCUCACCUUCUGGAGAACCGCGAUGUCCUUAAUUGGGUGCCGCGAGGAACCAGGACCUUUACUUUGAAAAAUUUAGAGUGUUUAAAGCAGGCAUUUUGCUUGAAUACAUUAGCAUGGAAUAAUAAAAUAGGACGGAUGGUUCUAUUUUGUUGGUUUCUAGGAUCACCGUAAUGAUUAAUAGGGAUAGUUGGGGGCAUUAGUAUUCAAUUGUCAGAGGUGAAAUUCUUGGAUUUAUUGAAGACUAACUACUGCGAAAGCAUUUGCCAAGGAUGUUUUCAUUAAUCAAGAACGAAAGUUAGGGGAUCGAAGACGAUCAGAUACCGU
rnacentral:rRNA from 1 species